ACUAAGCCGGUUCCUCACAUUCUUAUUAAUUUGCUUUGAGAACGUGGGAGCCGGUGUUGGUGUCUCCCCGUGCCUUCGUCCAUUCCGUUCUUUCAAAAUCAGAAUCUGUCAAAAGGAUGGUGCAAGUGACAAUCGUAUUGACUACUGAGACAGUCAUGAUUUAAGUAAGGUUUUGAGCACAAGAGAAAGACAAUAAUAGAUUAUGGGCUUUGUGUCUUGUGCCACUAAC